AACGAACGCUGGCGGCGUGUCUUAAGCAUGCAAGUCGUGCGGCAAGGGUAGCAAUACCCCUAGAGCGGCGGACUGGUGAGUAACGCGUGGGUGAUCUGCCCUUGGGAUGGGGAUAGCCACUAGAAAUAGUGGGUAAUACCGAGUACGUUCCCCCGACUGUGGUUGGGGGAGGAAAAGCGCUUCGGCGCUGCCCGAGGAUGAGCCCGCGUCCCAUUAGCUAGUUGGUGAGGUAAAGGCCCACCAAGGCGAUGAUGGGUAGGCGGCCUGAGAGGGUGUACGCCCACACUGGGACUGAGAUACGGCCCAGACUCCUACGGGAGGCAGCAGCUAAGAAUAUUCCGCAAUGGACGAAAGUCUGACGGAGCGACGCCGCGUGGAUGAAGAAGGCCGAAAGGUUGUA
rnacentral:rRNA from 1 species